GACGAACGCUGGCGGCGUGCCUAAUACAUGCAAGUUGAGCGCUGAAGGUUGGUACUUGUACCAACUGGAUGAGCAGCGAACGGGUGAGUAACGCGUGGGGAAUCUGCCUUUGAGCGGGGGACAACAUUUGGAAACGAAUGCUAAUACCGCAUAAAAACUUUAAACACAAGUUUUAAGUUUUAAAGAUGCAAUUGCAUCACUCAAAGAUGAUCCCGCGUUGUAUUAGCUAGUUGGUGAGGUAAAGGCUCACCAAGGCGAUGAUACAUAGCCGACCUGAGAGGGUGAUCGGCCACAUUGGGACUGAGACACGGCCCAAACGCCUGCGGGAGGCAGCAGUAGGGAAUCUUCGGCAAUGGACGAAAGUCUGACCGAGCAACGCCGCGUGAGUGAAGAAGGUUUUCGGAUCGUAAAACUCUGUUGGUAGAGAAGAACGUUGGUGAGAGUGGAAAGCUCAUCAAGUGACGGUAACUACCCAGAAAGGGACGGCUAACUACGUG
rnacentral:rRNA from 1 species